AAAGCAUUCUCUGGUGUUGAAGGCCCUGCAAAGCAGCAUCGCGGUGGCGGAGCGUCGUUUGCGACGCCCAACACACAAAACAAGCGGUGAGUGCUUUGGGGUGGGGUGACUGCGUACCUUUUGUAUAAUGGGUCAGCGACUUAUAUUCUGUAGCAAGGUUAACCGUAUAGGGGAGCCGUAGGGAAACCGAGUCUUAACCGGGCGUUAAGUUGCAGGGUAUAGACCCGAAACCCGGUGAUCUAGCCAUGGGCAGGUUGAAGGUUGGGUAACACUAACUGGAGGACCGAACCGACUAAUGUUGAAAAAUUAGCGGAUGACUUGUGGCUGGGGGUGAAAGGCCAAUCAAACCGGGAGAUAGCUGGUUCUCCCCGAAAGCUAUUUAGGUAGCGCCUCGUGAAUUCAUCUUCGGGGGUAGAGCACUGUUUCGGCUAGGGGGUCAUCCCGACUUACCAACCCGAUGCAAACUGCGAAUACCGGAGAAUGUUAUCACGGGAGACACACGGCGGGUGCUAACGUCCGUCGUGAAGAGGGAAACAACCCAGACCGCCAGCUAAGGUCCCAAAGUCAUGGUUAAGUGGGAAACGAUGUGGGAAGGCCCAGACAGCCAGGAUGUUGGCUUAGAAGCAGCCAUCAUUUAAAGAAAGCGUAAUAGCUCACUGGUCGAGUCGGCCUGCGCGGAAGAUGUAACGGGGCUAAACCAUGCACCGAAGCUGCGGCAGCGACACUGUGUGUUGUUGGGUAGGGGAGCGUUCUGUAAGCCUGCGAAGGUGGCCUGUGAGGGUUGCUGGAGGUAUCAGAAGUGCGAAUGCUGACAUAAGUAACGAUAAAGCGGGUGAAAAGCCCGCUCGCCGGAAGACCAAGGGUUCCUGUCCAACGUUAAUCGGGGCAGGGUGAGUCGACCCCUAAGGCGAGGCCGAAAGGCGUAGUCGAUGGGAAACAGGUUAAUAUUCCUGUACUUGGUGUUACUGCGAAGGGGGGACGGAGAAGGCUAUGUUGGCCGGGCGACGGUUGUCCCGGUUUAAGCGUGUAGGUGUGUGUUCCAGGUAAAUCCGGUUCACUUUAACAC
rnacentral:rRNA from 1 species